rnacentral:rRNA from 1 species
GUGGCGGGACGGGGAGCUACCAUGCAGUCGAGCGGUAGCACAGAGAGCUUGCUCUCGGGUGACGAGCGGCGGACGGGUGAGUAAUGUCUGGGAAACUGCCUGAUGGAGGGGGAUAACUACUGGAAACGGUAGCUAAUACCGCAUAACGUCGCAAGACCAAAGUGGGGGACCUUCGGGCCUCAUGCCAUCAGAUGUGCCCAGAUGGGAUUAGCUGGUAGGUGGGGUAACGGCUCACCUAGGCGACGAUCCCUAGCUGGUCUGAGAGGAUGACCAGCCACACUGGAACUGAGACACGGUCCAGACUCCUACGGGAGGCAGCAGUGGGGAAUAUUGCACAAUGGGCGCAAGCCUGAUGCAGCCAUGCCGCGUGUGUGAAGAAGGCCUUCGGGUUGUAAAGCACUUUCAGCGGGGAGGAAGGCGGUGAGGUUAAUAACCUCAUCGAUUGACGUUACCCGCAGAAGAAGCACCGGCUAACUCCGUGCCAGCAGCCGCGGUAAUACGGAGGGUGCAAGCGUUAAUCGGAAUUACUGGGCGUAAAGCGCACGCAGGCGGUCUGUCAAGUCGGAUGUGAAAUCCCCGGGCUCAACCUGGGAACUGCAUUCGAAACUGGCAGGCUAGAGUCUUGUAGAGGGGGGUAGAAUUCCAGGUGUAGCGGUGAAAUGCGUAGAGAUCUGGAGGAAUACCGGUGGCGAAGGCGGCCCCCUGGACAAAGACUGACGCUCAGGUGCGAAAGCGUGGGGAGCAAACAGGAUUAGAUACCCUGGUAGUCCACGCUGUAAACGAUGUCGAUUUGGAGGUUGUGCCCUUGAGGCGUGGCUUCCGGAGCUAACGCGUUAAAUCGACCGCCUGGGGAGUACGGCCGCAAGGUUAAAACUCAAAUGAAUUGACGGGGGCCCGCACAAGCGGUGGAGCAUGUGGUUUAAUUCGAUGCAACGCGAAGAACCUUACCUGGUCUUGACAUCCACAGAACUUACCAGAGAUGGAUUGGUGCCUUCGGGAACUGUGAGACAGGUGCUGCAUGGCUGUCGUCAGCUCGUGUUGUGAAAUGUUGGGUUAAGUCCCGCAACGAGCGCAACCCUUAUCCUUUGUUGCCAGCGGUUAGGCCGGGAACUCAAAGGAGACUGCCAGUGAUAAACUGGAGGAAGGUGGGGAUGACGUCAAGUCAUCAUGGCCCUUACGACCAGGGCUACACACGUGCUACAAUGGCAUAUACAAAGAGAAGCGACCUCGCGAGAGCAAGCGGACCUCAUAAAGUAUGUCGUAGUCCGGAUUGGAGUCUGCAACUCGACUCCAUGAAGUCGGAAUCGCUAGUAAUCGUAGAUCAGAAUGCUACGGUGAAUACGUUCCCGGGCCUUGUACACACCGCCCGUCACACCAUGGGAGUGGGUUGCAAAAGAAGUAGGUAGCUUAACCUCGGAGGGCGCUACCACUUGAUACCGUCU